rnacentral:rRNA from 1 species
UCGCUGCUACCGAUUGGAUGGUUUAGUGAGUUCCACGGACUGGUGCCUUUGGGGGUUUCCUCCGUUGGUGUCGGGAAGUGGGUCAAACUUGACUAUCUAGAGGAAGCAA